rnacentral:rRNA from 1 species
AGUGAACGCUGGCGGCAGGCCUAAUACAUGCAAGUCGAACGGCAGCACAGCAGAGCUUGCUCUGUGGGUGGCGAGUGGCGGACGGGUGAGGAAUACAUGGGAAUCUGCCCAGUCGUGGGGGAUAACGUAUGGAAACGUACGCUAAUACCGCAUGCGCCCUACGGGGGAAAGCCGGGGACCGAAAGGCCUGGCGCGAUUGGAUGAGCCCAUGUUCGAUUAGCUAGUUGGCGGGGUAAAGGCCCACCAAGGCGACGAUCGAUAGCUGGUCUGAGAGGAUGAUCAGCCACACUGGAACUGAGACACGGUCCAGACUCCUACGGGAGGCAGCAGUAGGGAAUAUUGGACAAUGGGGGCAACCCUGAUCCAGCCAUGCCGCGUGAGUGAAGAAGGCCCUCGGGUUGUAAAGCUCUUUUGUCCGGAAAGAAAAGCAAUCGGUUAAUACCCGGUUGUUCUGACGGUACCGGAAGAAUAAGCACCGGCUAACUUCGUGCCAGCA